AGAGAAUAGAUACCCGGGUAGUCCACGCUGUAAACGAUGAGUGCUAGGUGUCGUGGGUAUUGACCCCCGCGGUGCCGUAGCUAAACGCAUUAAGCACUCCGCCUGGGAAGUACGGUCGCAAGACUAAACUCAAAGGAAUUGACGGGGGCCCGCACAAGCGGUGGAGCAUGUGGUUUAAUUCGACGCAACGCGCAGAGCCUUACCAGGGCUGGAAAGUGGAUGGAAUCCCGGUGAAAGCUGGGGUGCCCGCAAGGGAACCGUCUGACAGGUGCUGCAUGGCUGUCGUCAGCUCGUGUCGUGAGAUGUUGGGUUUAAGUCCCGCAACGAGCGCAACCCCUAUCACUAGUUGCUAACAGUUCGGCUGAGCACUCUAGCGAGACUGCCGGCGUCAAGCCGGAGGAAGGUGGGGACGACGUCAAGUCCUCAUGGCCCUUAUGUCCUGGGCUACACACGUGCUACAAUGGUGCAUACAGAUCGCAGCGAGCUCGUGAGAGUAAGCCAAUCGCAAAAACGUGCACC
rnacentral:rRNA from 1 species